UACAGGGGGGGCAAGCGUUGAUCGGAAUUACUGGGCGUAAAGGGCCAGUAGGCGGCCAACUAAGUCACACGUGAAAUCCCCAGGCUUAACCUGGGAACUGCGUGUGAUACUGGAUGGCUUGAAUUCGGGAGAGGGAUGCAGAAUUCCAGGUGUAGCGGUGAAAUGCGUAGAUAUCUGGAGGAAUACCGGUGGCGAAGGCGGCAUCCUGGACCGACAUUGACGCUGAACGGCGAAAGCUAGGGGAGCAAACGGG
rnacentral:rRNA from 1 species